rnacentral:tRNA from 1 species
GCGGUUGUGGUGGAAUGGUAGACACGUAGGCUUGAGGGGCUUAUGUCGCAAGACGUGGGGGUUCAAGUCCCCCCAACCGCA